rnacentral:rRNA from 1 species
GACGAACGCUGGCGGCGUGCUUAACACAUGCAAGUCGAACGGAAAGGCCCUGCUUUUGUGGGGUGCUCGAGUGGCGAACGGGUGAGUAACACGUGAGUAACCUGCCCUUGACUUUGGGAUAACUUCAGGAAACUGGGGCUAAUACCGGAUAGGAUCUCCUGCUGCAUGGUGGGUGUUGGAAAGUUUCGGCGGUUGGGGAUGGACUCGCGGCUUAUCAGCUUGUUGGUGGGGUAGUGGCUUACCAAGGCUUUGACGGGUAGCCGGCCUGAGAGGGUGACCGGCCACAUUGGGACUGAGAUACGGACCAGACUCCUACGGGAGGCAGCAGUGGGGAAUAUUGCACAAUGGGCGGAAGCCUGAUGCAGCAACGCCGCGUGCGGGAUGACGGCCUUCGGGUUGUAAACCGCUUUCGCCUGUGACGAAGCGUGAGUGACGGUAAUGGGUAAAGAAGCACCGGCUAACUACGUG